AGAGUUUGAUUCUGGCUCAGGAUGAACGCUAGCUACAGGCUUAACACAUGCAAGGUCGAGGGGCAGCAUGGUCUUAGCUUGCUAAGAUUGAUGGCGACCGGCGCACGGGUGAGUAACGCGUAUCCAACCUUCCCUAUAGUAGGGGAUAGCCCGUAGAAAUGCGGAUUAAUACCCUAUGUUGUAUUUCGAGGGCAUCUGACGAAUACCAAAGGUUCACCGCUAUAGGAUGGGGAUGCGUCUGAUUAGGUAGUCGGCGGGGUAACGGCCCACCGAGCCAACGAUCAGUAGGGUUCGUGAGAGGAAGGUCCCCCACCAUUGGAACUGAGACACGGUCCAAACUCCUACGGGAGGCAGCAGUGAGGAAUAUUGGUCAAUGGGCGAGAGCCUGAACCAGCCAAGUAGCGUGCCAGGAUGACGGCCCUAUGGGUUGUAAACUGCUUUUAUGCGGGGAUAAAGUGAGGGACGUGUCCCUUAUUGUAGGUACCGCAUGAAUAAGGACCGGCUAAUUCCGUGCCAGCCGCAGC
rnacentral:rRNA from 1 species